CGUUCCGGCAGCUUACACAUGCAGUCGAACGAAAUCUUCGGAUUUAGUGGCGGACGGGUGAGUAACGCGUGAGAAUCUGGCUCUAGGUCUGGGACAACCACUGGAAACGGUGGCUAAUACCGGAUGUGCCCUUGGGUGAAAGGUUAACUGCCUAGAGAUGAGCUCGCGUCUGAUUAGCUAGUUGGAAGUGUAAUGGACUCCCAAGGCGACGAUCAGUAGCUGGUCUGAGAGGACGAUCAGCCACACUGGGACUGAGACACGGCCCAGACUCCUACGGGAGGCAGCAGUGGGGAAUUUUCCGCAAUGGGCGAAAGCCUGACGGAGCAAUACCGCGUGAGGGAGGAAGGCUCUUGGGUCGUAAACCUCUUUUCUCAGGGAAGAACACAAUGACGGUACCUGAGGAAUAAGCAUCGGCUAACUCCGUGCCAGCAGCCGCGGUAAUACGGAGGAUGCAAGCGUUAUCCGGAAUGAUUGGGCGUAAAGCGUCCGCAGGUGGCAAUGUAAGUCUGCUGUUAAAGAGUCUAGCUCAACUAGAUAAGAGCAGUGGAAACUACAUAGCUAGAGUACGUUCGGGGCAGAGGGAAUUCCUGGUGUAGCGGUGAAAUGCGUAGAAAUA
rnacentral:rRNA from 1 species